GCCACGGUGAUGUUUGCCCCGC
rnacentral:siRNA from 1 species